GAGCGGACGGAUGGGAGCUUGCUCCCAGACCACUGGCGGCGGACGGGUGAGUAACACGUGGGCAACCUGCCUGUAAGACUGGGAUAACUCCGGGAAACCGGGGCUAAUACCGGAUAAUUCUUGGCCUCACAUGAGGGAAAGCUGAAAGAUGGUUUCGGCUAUCACUUACAGAUGGGCCCGCGGCGCAUUAGCUAGUUGGUGAGGUAACGGCUCACCAAGGCAACGAUGCGUAGCCGACCUGAGAGGGUGAUCGAUCACACUGGGACUGAGACACGGCCCAGACUCCUACGGGAGGCAGCAGUAGGGAAUCUUCCGCAAUGGACGAAAGUCUGACGGAGCAACGCCGCGUGAGUGAUGAAGGCCUUCGGAUCGUAAAACUCUGUUGUUAGGGAAGAACAAGUACCGGAGUAACUGCCGGUACCUUGACGGUACCUAACCAGAAAGCCACGGCUAACUACGUGCCAGCAGCCGCGGUAAUACGUAGGUGGCAAGCGUUGUCCGGAAUUAUUGGGCGUAAAGCGCGCGCAGGCGGUUCCUUAAGUCUGAUGUGAAACCCUUUGGGUCAACCGGGGAGGGUCAUUGGAAACUGGGGAACUUGAGUGCAGAAGAGAAGAGUGGAAUUCCUGCAGUAG
rnacentral:rRNA from 2 species